GGGGAUGUGGCUCAGCGGUAGAGCGCUCGCCUUGCAUGUGUGCAGCCCUGGGUUCGAUCCUCAGCACCA
rfam:Ictidomys tridecemlineatus contig002397, whole genome shotgun sequence.